rnacentral:rRNA from 1 species
UACGGAGGGUGCAAGCGUUAAUCGGAAUUACUGGGCGUAAAGGGUGCGUAGGUGGUUGAAUAAGUUAGGUGUGAAAGCCCCGGGCUUAACCUGGGAAUUGCGCCUAAUACUGUCUGACUAGAGUACUGUAGAGGAAGGUGGAAUUUCCGGUGUAGCGGUGAAAUGCGUAGAUAUCGGAAGGAACAUCAGUGGCGAAGGCGACUUUCUGGACAGAUACUGACACUGAGGCACGAAAGCAUGGGGAGCAAACAGG